rnacentral:rRNA from 1 species
AUGUACAUUCCUACAACAUAUCAUUAAUGCACCGGAUCUCGUUAGAACUACACAAUUAAUCAUUCUCAGGCUAGAGUAGUACUGGGAUGGGUGACCACCUGGUAAGUCCUAGUGUUUUACAUG